GGCUCAGAUUGAACGCUGGCGGCAGGCCUAACACAUGCAAGUCGAACGGUAACAGGAAGAAGCUUGCUUCUUUGCUGACGAGUGGCGGACGGGUGAGUAAUGUCUGGGAAACUGCCUGAUGGAGGGGGAUAACUACUGGAAACGGUAGCUAAUACCGCAUAACGUCGCAAGACCAAAGAGGGGGACCUUCGGGCCUCUUGCCAUCGGAUGUGCCCAGAUGGGAUUAGCUUGUUGGUGGGGUAACGGCUCACCAAGGCGACGAUCCCUAGCUGGUCUGAGAGGAUGACCAGCCACACUGGAACUGAGACACGGUCCAGACUCCUACGGGAGGCAGCAGUGGGGAAUAUUGCACAAUGGGCGCAAGCCUGAUGCAGCCAUGCCGCCGUGUAUGAAGAAGGCCUUCGGGUUGUAAAGUACUUUCAGCGGGGAGGAAGGGAGUAAAGUUAAUACCUUUGCUCAUUGACGUUACCCGCAGAAGAAGCACCGGCUAACUCCGUGCCAGCAGCGGC
rnacentral:rRNA from 1 species